rnacentral:rRNA from 1 species
GACGAACCGUGCGAACGUUGUUCGGAAUCACUGGGCUUAAAGGGCGCGUAGGCGGACAAUCAAGUCAGGGGUGAAAUCCCACGGCUCAACCGUGGAAGUGCCUUUGAUACUGACUGUCUCGAGGGAGGUAGGGGCGUGCGGAACUUCCGGUGGAGCGGUGAAAUGCGUAGAUAUCGGAAGGAACAUCAGUGGCGAAAGCGGCUUCCUGGUCCAGCACCGACGUUCAGGCACGAAAGCGUGGGGAGCAAACAGG